rnacentral:rRNA from 1 species
UACACACCGCCCGUCACACCAUGGGAGUCGUUUGCUCCAGAAGUGGCUGUGCCAACCCGCAAGGGAGGCAGGUCCCCAAGGAGUGAACGGUAACUGGGGUG